rnacentral:rRNA from 1 species
UACGUAGGGUGCAAGCGUUGUCCGGAAUUAUUGGGCGUAAAGAGCUCGUAGGCGGUCUGUCGCGUCGGCUGUGAAAACCCGGAGCUCAACUCCGGGCCUGCAGUCGAUACGGGCAAACUAGAGUACUGCAGGGGAGACUGGAAUUCCUGGUGUAGCGGUGAAAUGCGCAGAAAUCAGGAGGAACACCGGUGGCGAAGGCGGGUCUCUGGGCCGAAACUGACGCUGAGGAGCGAAAGCGUGGGGAGCGAACAGG